GGUGCGUGUCACGACAAGCUCAACACCAACACAGAAUGCCAGGACAAGUUUAUGGGCAGCCACAGCCCCAAACAUGUACCACACUGUUGAUGCUGAGGAUUCCAAGCCUACAGCAAGGCCCUCGAAGAGUUCAUGCACAGAUAGUGCCAGAACUACCAAGAGGCCACGCAGAGAUGAUACGAGAAUCGUCUCUGUUUCAGCCUGAGACUGUGGCAGGUGUGUGUGUCCAUGAAGAUGAGUAUGACCUAUGUUAGGGAAAAAAAAGGAUUCAUUCAGAAUUUGUAUGAUUCCUGUUGGAAACGCGAGCGCCAACUGGCGGAAAUAUUUGAAGGUUUAUUAUGUAAGCCCUUCCGGAACAUUUGUCAGUCUUUUUGUGAAAAGCGUGGCGUGACGUGCAGUUGUGUAAUUCUUUUGGGAAAGGAAUUUGCGUUUGGCUGAACUCCUUUGGGAGACGAUCAAGCUAGGUCCUGAGUCAGGAUAAAGAGUUUUAUAACUUGGUAGGUUUGAUAGACGAUUGAAAGAAAUUCAAUAUGGCGAUAGUAUGAAAAUUAUUAAAUUACAGGUUGUAAACUCGUAAAAUAGCUUGAGGUUGAUGGAAGCAAACGGAGGCCGUUUGUGUUGAAGUAAGAAUUGAAUUAUCUUGUUUAAGAAAGUGAAUUAAAAUUCGGUUCAACAAAUAAAUCAACUUCGUGGAUCAACAACAUCAACAAUUAUCGUAACUUACUCGUCACCUAAAUCAGCAGCUUGUUCGAAUCGUCUCUUUCUGUUAUGUACAUAAUGUAAAUAUUGUAUAUAUCGCACGUUUAUUAUUACGACGGCGUAUCUCGGUUUUUGUCGAUUUUGAGUUAUUAUUGUUUUAUAAUAGGAAAUUUAUUAAAUAUUCAUUAUUAUGUAAUAAUCUCAUCAACUUUGCUAGAAAUAUUUUUAAUAAUUUCAAGUAUUUGUCAAGCCUGCAAAAUAAAAGUAGCGUACAAGUGGCGUAUGAUUAUUUAUUAUUUAUUAUUAUUAAACAGUGACAACAUAA